rfam:Myotis brandtii contig274316, whole genome shotgun sequence.
GGUGGUUCUCAGGUGACAUGCCUCAGAACCGGGCUCCCUGCUCUCUGGUUCCAGGUUCAUCACCUGAAAACCACA